rnacentral:lncRNA from 1 species
UCAAAGGAGGCAAGGAAGGUGGCGUGAUGCAGACACGAAAACAUAUUCUUGGAAGAAAAUUAACGUGCCGGCUGAAUUAGUCGCUCUGUUGGUAUUCACUGAGCCAGAGAAAGAAAAAAACAAGGAAGCCAACAAUACAAACAAGGAAGCCAGCCAUAAGAAAGGCAAAGGUGACUUUACGAACCGGUCCUCCCCAUGCGUGUGUUAGUUCUGGAUUAUUAAAUCAAUAUAGAUUUUACACUGGCCCCCUGAAACGCCAACAAUGUGACAUUGAGAAGUCAUGCUUCAUGCUACCGACUGUGGAAGGAAGGAUACAACAUAACUCCAAGUCUGGCACCUUGGCAUCGUUGGAAAGUCAACAUCUGUCAUCCUUUGACGUUUGCUACCCAUCCAACAGAAAGAAGAACCAGGCCUGGGGAUUUAGCUCAGUGGUUCUGCCACCUGCUUUGCAAGGUCCCAAGUUCAAUCCCUGGUACCAAAAAGAAGAAGAAGAAGAAGAACCAGGCUUAUUUUAUCUUUUAUCCUCAGGUAACCCGAACAAUUACUCAAUACAUUCUUAUCUG